rnacentral:rRNA from 1 species
CCUACGGGGGGCAGCAGUGGGGAAUAUUGGGCAAUGGGCGCAAGCCUGACCCAGCAAUGCCGCGUGAAGGAAGAAGGCUUUCGGGUUGUAAACUUCUUUGACAGGGGAAGAGCAGAAGACGGUACCCUGAAAACAAGCCACGGCUAACUACGUGCCAGCAGCCGCGGUAAUACGUAGGUGGCAAGCGUUGUCCGGAUUUACUGGGUGUAAAGGGCGUGUAGCCGGGAAGGCAAGUCAGAUGUGAAAUCCGGGGGCUCAACCUCCGAAUUGCAUUUGAAACUGUUUUUCUUGAGUACUGGAGAGGCAGACGGAAUGUCUGGUGUAGCGGUGAAAUGCGUAGAUAUAAGAAGGAACACCGGUGGCGAAGGCGGUCGACUGAACAGCAACUGACGGUGAGGCGCGAAAGCGUGGGGAGCGAACAGGAUUAGAUACCCGAGUAGUC